rnacentral:rRNA from 1 species
UAGGGAAUCUUCGGCAAUGGACGAAAGUCUGACCGAGCAACGCCGCGUGAGUGAAGAAGGUUUUCGGAUCGUAAAACUCUGUUGUUAGAUAAGAACAAGGACGUUAGUAACUGAACGUCCCCUGACGGUAUCUAACCAGAAAGCCACGGCUAACUACGUGCCAGCAGCCGCGGUAAUACGUAGGUGGCAAGCGUUGUCCGGAUUUAUUGGGCGUAAAGCGAGCGCAGGCGGUUUCUUAAGUCUGAUGUGAAAGCCCCCGGCUCAACCGGGGAGGGUCAUUGGAAACUGGGAGACGUGAGUGCAGAAGAGGAGAGUGGAAUUCCAUGUGUAGCGGUGAAAUGCGUAGAUAUAUGGAGGAACACCAGUGGCGAAGGCGGCUCUCUGGUCUGUAACUGACGCUGAGGCUCGAAAGCGUGGGGAGCAAACAGG